rfam:Picea glauca, whole genome shotgun sequence.
GGGUGCGAUCAUACCAGCAUUAAUGCACCGGAUCCCAUCAAAACUCCACAGUUAAGCGCACUUGGGCUCGAAAAGAACUGGGAUGGGUGACCUCCUAGGAACUACUAGUGUUUCACCCU